CAAAUUGAGAGUUUGAUCCUGGCUCAGGAUGAACGCUGGCGGCGUGCCUAAUACAUGCAAGUCGAACGCACAGCGAAAGGUGCUUGCACCUUUCAAGUGAGUGGCGAACGGGUGAGUAACACGUGGACAACCUGCCUCAAGGCUGGGGAUAACAUUUGGAAACAGAUGCUAAUACCGAAUAAAACUUAGUGUCGCAUGACACAAAGUUAAAAGGCGCUUCGGCGUCACCUAGAGAUGGAUCCGCGGUGCAUUAGUUAGUUGGUGGGGUAAAGGCCUACCAAGACAAUGAUGCAUAGCCGAGUUGAGAGACUGAUCGGCCACAUUGGGACUGAGACACGGCCCAAACUCCUACGGGAGGCUGCAGUAGGGAAUCUUCCACAAUGGGCGAAAGCCUGAUGGAGCAACGCCGCGUGUGUGAUGAAGGCUUUCGGGUCGUAAAGCACUGUUGUAUGGGAAGAACAGCUAGAAUAGGAAAUGAUUUUAGUUUGACGGUACCAUACCAGAAAGGGACGGCUAAAUACGUGCCAGCAGCCGCGGUAAUACGUAUGUCCCGAGCGUUAUCCGGAUUUAUUGGGCGUAAAGCGAGCGCAGACGGUUUAUUAAGUCUGAUGUGAAAGCCCGGAGCUCAACUCCGGAAUGGCAUUGGAAACUGGUUAACUUGAGUGCAGUAGAGGUAAGUGGAACUCCAUGUGUAGCGGUGGAAUGCGUAGAUAUAUGGAAGAACACCAGUGGCGAAGGCGGCUUACUGGACUGCAACUGACGUUGAGGCUCGAAAGUGUGGGUAGCAAACAGGAUUAGAUACCCUGGUAGUCCACACCGUAAACGAUGAACACUAGGUGUUAGGAGGUUUCCGCCUCUUAGUGCCGAAGCUAACGCAUUAAGUGUUCCGCCUGGGGAGUACGACCGCAAGGUUGAAACUCAAAGGAAUUGACGGGGACCCGCACAAGCGGUGGAGCAUGUGGUUUAAUUCGAAGCAACGCGAAGAACCUUACCAGGUCUUGACAUCCUUUGAAGCUUUUAGAGAUAGAAGUGUUCUCUUCGGAGACAAAGUGACAGGUGGUGCAUGGUCGUCGUCAGCUCGUGUCGUGAGAUGUUGGGUUAAGUCCCGCAACGAGCGCAACCCUUAUUGUUAGUUGCCAGCAUUCAGAUGGGCACUCUAGCGAGACUGCCGGUGACAAACCGGAGGAAGGCGGGGACGACGUCAGAUCAUCAUGCCCCUUAUGACCUGGGCUACACACGUGCUACAAUGGCGUAUACAACGAGUUGCCAACUCGCGAGGGUGAGCUAAUCUCUUAAAGUACGUCUCAGUUCGGAUUGUAGUCUGCAACUCGACUACAUGAAGUCGGAAUCGCUAGUAAUCGCGGAUCAGCACGCCGCGGUGAAUACGUUCCCGGGUCUUGUACACACCGCCCGUCACACCAUGGGAGUUUGUAAUGCCCAAAGCCGGUGGCCUAACCUUUUAGGAAGGAGCCGUCUAAGGCAGGACAGAUGACUGGGGUGAAGUCGUAACAAGGUAGCCGUAGGAGAACCUGCGGCUGGAUCACCUCCUUUCUAAGGA
rnacentral:rRNA from 1 species